UAGGGAAUCUUCCACAAUGGACGAAAGUCUGAUGGAGCAACGCCGCGUGAGUGAAGAAGGUCUUCGGAUCGUAAAGCUCUGUUGUUGGUGAAGAAGGAUAGAGGCAGUAACUGGUCUUUAUUUGACGGUAAUCAACCAGAAAGUCACGGCUAACUACGGGCCAG
rnacentral:rRNA from 1 species